GUGCCAGCCGCCGCGGUAAUACCGGCAGCACGAGUGAUGGCCGAUUUUAUUGGGCCUAAAGCGUUCGUAGCCGGCCGGACAAGUCCGUUGGGAAAUCCACGCGCUCAACGCGUGGGCGUCCAGCGGAAACUAUCCGGCUUGGGGCCGGGAGACUCGAGGGGUACGUCCGGGGUAGGAGUGAAAUCCCGUAAUCCUGGACGGACCGCCGGUGGCGAAAGCGCCUCAGGAGGACGGACUCGACAGUAAGGGACGAAAGCCAGGGUCUCGAACCGGAUUAGAAACCCUAGUAGUCC
rnacentral:rRNA from 1 species